CAUUAAACCUGUAUGUUGCCAACCUUAUCCCUACUCCCCUAUUUUCAGAAAAGAUCAUACUCAUGCCUUCAUCUUCUUCUCCUUUCAAUUUUUAAAAAAUUCGAUCAUCACUUUCAGUCAAAGACAAAAAAAAUGAAAGAUUUGUGAAUCUUUUUCUCACCUUCUCCCUAUUGGCGUCAUAAAUACCUUUAAUUUCAGUUCAAAUUCAAUUUUUUAAGUCCGAAUUUGUCUAUAAAUAACAAGGUUUUUCACCUUCAUAAGACAAAAGAGAGAUCCCAGAAAAAUACAUAUCGAAGAAUUCAUUUGAAACUUCAAAAAAUCAUUGGGUUUUUUUUUUGCGGCUUUAAAUUCAAGUUCAGAAAGGAGUUCGAAAUUGGAAUCCUUGACAAAAAAUUCCCUUGUUUGCUGCUCCACAUAAGAGUUCUACUUUGGAACUCAUUUUUGGCCCAAAAUAUCGGACCAACAACUAUUAGGAUCAUCAGAGCUCGGAGCCCUGUAAAUUAGCAGUCAAUAUUUCUUGGCCUUUCUCGUUACUAUUUUGAUUAUGUUUCUUUUGAUAUAUUAAUUUAUUUUUACAUACAUGUUUACAUAUAUGUGAAUGUUAAUACUAAUCUCUCUUCUUUAUUUGAGACCUUUUUGUAUAUGGCUAAUAUCAUUUGUUAAUUAUUUUUA